rnacentral:snoRNA from 1 species
AGGUGUUUUCAAAAAGGACUUGUGGGCUCUGACUCCAGGCACUCAACACUUUGAAGGGCUUCAUAUUAGCUAUAGUCACUCAGUCGUGCUAUGCUUUCCUGAGGAGAUGUAAGG